rnacentral:rRNA from 1 species
UGAAUACGAGACGCUAAGGCGUCGAAGUAGUGUAUGUCAUACUUCCAAGAAAAGCUUGCACUGUCAUAGAUAAAAAACGCCUGUACCAUAACCGACACAGGUGGGUAGGUAGAGUAUACUAAGGGGCGCGAGAUAACUCUCUCUAAGGAACUCGGCAAAAUGACUCCGUAACUUCGGGAGAAGGAGUGCCUUAUUAUUAAGGCUGCAAUAACAAGAUCCAAGCAACUGUUUAUCAAAAACACAGGUCUCCGCUAAGUCGUAAGACGAUGUAUGGGGGCUGACGCCUGCCCAGUGCCAGAAGGUUAAAGAAGUUGGUUAGCAUUUGCGAAGCUGAUAACUGAAGCCCUGGUGAACGGCGGCCGUAACUAUAACGGUCCUAAGGUAGCGAAAUUCCUUGUCGGGUAAGUUCCGACCCGCACGAAAGGCGUAAUGAUUUGGAUACUGUCUCGGAGAGGGGCUCGGUGGAAUAGACUUGUCUGUGAAGAUGCGGACUACCUGCACCAGGACAGAAAGACCCUAUGAAGCUUUACUGUAACUUGAAAUUGAAAUUGGACUUUAUUCGCGCAGCAUAGGUGGGAGGCGUUGAUUAUAAUCUUGUGGGAUUAUUGGAGCCAUCAGUGAGAUACCACUCUUGUAAUGUUAGAUUUCUAACUUUGAAUCAUUAUCUGGUCAAAGAACAGUUUCAGGCGGGCAGUUUGACUGUGGCGGUCGCCUCCUAAACGGUAACGGAGGCGUACAAAGGUUUCCUCUGAACGGUUAGAAAUCGUAUCUAGAGUGUAAAGGCAUAAGGAAGCUUGACUGUGAGACCUACAAGUCGAGCAGGGACGAAAGUCGGUCUUAGUGAUCUGACGGUACUGAGUGGAAAGGCCGUCACUCAACGGAUAAAAGUUACUCUAAGGAUAACAGGCUGAUCUCCCCCAAGAGUUCACAUCGACGGGGAGGUUUGGCACUUCGAUGUCGGCUCAUCGCAUCCUGGGGCGGUAGUACGUCCCAAGGGUUGGGCUGUUCGCCCAUGAAAGCGGUACGCGAGCUGGGUUCAGAACGUCGUGAGACAGUUCGGUCCAUAUCCGGUGUAGGCGUUAGAAUAUUGAGAGGAGCCUUCUUUAGUACGAGAGGACCGAGAAGGACAUACCUCUGGUGUACCAGUUAUCGUGCCAACGGUAAACGCUGGGUAGCUAUGUAUGGAGUGGAUAACCGCUGAAAGCAUCUAAGUGGGAAGCCCACCUCAAGAUAAGUAUUCUCA